GAGAGCCUUUCCAAGAUGUAUCCAAGUUCAUGCAGUUCCACCCACAGACAAGUGAGAGGCGCUGUAGGGCUCCGUAGAAAGUAAAAGGGGAGGAGCGGUAUCGGAGAGUAAAGUAGCCACACGGUCUGUCUGUAUGAUUGUGUGACCAGGCAUGCGCUCGCAUCUGAGAACCAACCGACGCUGAGCAGGGAGCGGAUGAAGAAGCGUUUGGUGGCAUCUGCGAACUCCCGACCACUCCGCUUACUAUUGGCAACGGAAAGACGGUAGCCUCGACAGUUACAGCGGACACCUGACACUCAGCAACAGAAGGCCAACAUAAUACAUUUAGCUGUAAAAAGCAACAACGGUCUUUGCUGGAUAAAGACAGCAUUCACACAUAAGGACGAACGCCGGUGCUGAAGCUCAGCUGCGACUAGGGAGGUGUAGACGGCAAUACUCAGAUCUCAUUUGUCUGUGAUGAGAAUCGCCAUCCACCAGAGACCUAAGGUACGGCUGUGACCACACUGUGAACGUCACACGCUUGAACCCCUUAAAGGGCCAACUCCCCGGGAGGAGUUUUCCCUUUACUGACCACAAACA
ensembl:lncRNA